UCCCGCGGGCUGCAUGGCCUGCGGGGGAAAGGGUUUCCGGUAGGGGAUGGGCAUGCGGCGCAUUAGCUAGUUGGCGGGGCAACGGCCCACCAAGGCGACGAUGCGUAGGGGUUCUGAGAGGAAGGUCCCCCACACUGGUACUGAGACACGGACCAGACUCCUACGGGAGGCAGCAGUGAGGAAUAUUGGUCAAUGGGCGCAGGCCUGAACCAGCCAAGUCGCGUGAGGGAAGACGGUCCUACGGAUUGUAAACCUCUUUUGUCGGGGAGCAAAGGGGCCAUUCAUGGCAGGAUGAGCGUACCGAAGAAAAAGCAUCGGCUAACUCCGUG
rnacentral:rRNA from 1 species